UACAGGGGGGGCAAGCGUUGUUCGGAAUUACUGGGCGUAAAGAGCGCGCAGGCGGUCGUUCAAGUCGCGUGUGAAAGCCCCCGGCUCAACUGGGGAGGGUCACGCGAUACUGAUCGACUCGAAGGCAGGAGAGGGUAGUGGAAUUCCCGGUGUAGUGGUGAAAUGCGUAGAUAUCGGGAGGAACACCAGUGGCGAAGGCGACUACCUGGCCUGUUCUUGACGCUGAGGCGCGAAAGCUAGGGGAGCAAACGGG
rnacentral:rRNA from 1 species